rnacentral:rRNA from 1 species
AUUGAACGCUGGCGGCAUGCCUUACACAUGCAAGUCGAACGGCAGCACGGGGGUAAUCCUGGUGGCGAGUGGCGAACGGGUGAGUAAUAUAUCGGAACAUGCCCAGUCGUGGGGGAUAACGCAGCGAAAGUUGUGCUAAUACCGCGUACGAUCUAUGGAUGAAAGCGGGGGAUCGCAAGACCUCGCGCGAUUGGAGUGGCUGAUAUCAGAUUAGGUAGUUGGUGGGGUAAAGGCUCACCAAGCCGACGAUCUGUAGCUGGUCUGAGAGGACGACCAGCCAGACUGGGACUGCGUACCGGCACAGACUCCUACGGGAGGCAGCAGUGGGGAAUGUUGGACAAUGGGCGCAAGCCUGAUCCAGCAAUGCCGCGUGCGGGACGAAGGCCUUCGGGUUGUAAACUGCUUUUGUACGGAGCGAAAAGGCUCUCUCUAAUACAGGGGGUUUAUGACGGUACCGUAAGAAUAAGCACCGGCUAACUACGUGCCAGCAGCCGCAGUAAAAC